AUGAACGCUGGCGGCGUGCCUAAUACAUGCAAGUCGAGCGAACGGACGAGAAGCUUGCUUCUCUGAUGUUAGCGGCGGACGGGCGAGUAACACGUGGAUAACCUACCUAUAAGACUGGGAUAACUUCGGGAAACCGGAGCUAAUACCGGAUAAUAUUUUGAACCGCAUGGUUCAAAAGUGAAAGACGGUCUUGCUGUCACUUAUAGAUGGAUCCGCGCUGCAUUAGCUAGUUGGUAAGGUAACGGCUUACCAAGGCAACGAUGCAUAGCCGACCUGAGAGGGUGAUCGGCCACACUGGAACUGCGCCACGGUCCAGACUCCUACGGGAGGCAGCAGUAGGGAAUCUUCCGCAAUGGGCGAAAGCCUGACGGAGCAACGCCGCGUGAGUGAUGAAGGUCUUCGGAUCGUAAAACUCUGUUAUUAGGGAAGAACAUAUGUGUAAGUAACUGUGCACAUCUUGACGGUACCUAAUCAGAAAGCCACGGCUAACUACGUG
rnacentral:rRNA from 1 species